AUGAACGCUAGCUACAGGCUUAACACAUGCAAGUCGAGGGGCAGCAUGGUCUUAGCUUGCUAAGGCCGAUGGCGACCGGCGCACGGGUGAGUAACACGUAUCCAACCUGCCGUCUACUCUUGGACAGCCUUCUGAAAGGAAGAUUAAUACAAGAUGGCAUCAUGAGUCCGCAUGUUCACAUGAUUAAAGGUAUUCCGGUAGACGAUGGGGAUGCGUUCCAUUAGAUAGUAGGCGGGGUAACGGCCCACCUAGUCUUCGAUGGAUAGGGGUUCUGAGAGGAAGGUCCCCCACAUUGGAACUGAGACACGGUCCAAACUCCUACGGGAGGCAGCAGUGAGGAAUAUUGGUCAAUGGGCGAGAGCCUGAACCAGCCAAGUAGCGUGAAGGAUGACUGCCCUAUGGGUUGUAAACUUCUUUUAUAAAGGAAUAAAGUCGGGUAUGGAUACCCGUUUGCAUGUACUUUAUGAAUAAGGAUCGGCUAACUCCGUGCCAGCAGCCGCGGUAAUACGGAGGAUCCGAGCGUUAUCCGGAUUUAUUGGGUUUAAAGGGAGCGUAGAUGGAUGUUUAAGUCAGUUGUGAAAGUUUGCGGCUCAACCGUAAAAUUGCAGUUGAUACUGGAUAUCUUGAGUGCAGUUGAGGCAGGCGGAAUUCGUGGUGUAGCAGUGAAAUGCUUAGAUAUCACGAGGAACUCCGAUUGCGAAGGCAGCCUGCUAAGCUGCAACUGACAUUGAGGCUCGAAAGUGUGGGUAUCAAACAGGAUUAGAUACCCUGGUAGUCCACACGGUAAACGAUGAAUACUCGCUGUUUGCGAUAUACAGCAAGCGGCCAAGCGAAAGCGUUAAGUAUUCCACCUGGGGAGUACGCCGGCAACGGUGAAACUCAAAGGAAUUGACGGGGGCCCGCACAAGCGGAGGAACAUGUGGUUUAAUUCGAUGAUACGCGAGGAACCUUACCCGGGCUUAAAUUGCAGAUGAAUUACGGUGAAAGCCGUAAGCCGCAAGGCAUCUGUGAAGGUGCUGCAUGGUUGUCGUCAGCUCGUGCCGUGAGGUGUCGGCUUAAGUGCCAUAACGAGCGCAACCCUUGUUGUCAGUUACUAACAGGUUCCGCUGAGGACUCUGACAAGACUGCCAUCGUAAGAUGUGAGGAAGGUGGGGAUGACGUCAAAUCAGCACGGCCCUUACGUCCGGGGCUACACACGUGUUACAAUGGGGGGUACAGAGGGCCGCUACCACGCGAGUGGAUGCCAAUCCCAAAAACCUCUCUCAGUUCGGACUGGAGUCUGCAACCCGACUCCACGAAGCUGGAUUCGCUAGUAAUCGCGCAUCAGCCACGGCGCGGUGAAUACGUUCCCGGGCCUUGUACACACCGCCCGUCAAGCCAUGGGAGCCGGGGGUACCUGAAGUGCGUAACCGCGAGGAGCGCCCUAGGGUAAAACUGGUGACUGGGGCU
rnacentral:rRNA from 1 species